rnacentral:lncRNA from 1 species
GCAUGUCCUAUAUAUGCUCAGUGAUGAGGAUGGUUGAUCUCACAACCUCUUGUAUGGUGAUACUAAUACAAGGAUGUGGGUGCUCAUUAGAGAAUGAGUUUACUGAAUAGACCUACGAGAGAAUAUCUGAUAGAGUCUUAUUUAUAUGUCAGCUGAUAAUUCUCUAGUGGAAGUUGUGUAAGUGAUCCUUUGACCUGAGAUCCCUAUAGUAUCUUGUGUACAUGAGUUCAUAUUUUGGUUCAC